UUUCUAUUUCCAUUCUACUUUCUUUAAAUGUCGUCAGAUUUUCAGUUUGAUGCUGGCGAAUUUUCUGUAGAUUUUCUGCUACUUCAACCAAUGUUUCCUCUAUUUCGCACAUGACAUUAGAGGUUUUGAUAUUGUGAAUGGCGUCAUCUAAUUCAACACAAUCUCGGCAUUCUUUAUGGCUGUCGACGAUGCAUUUGCUGCAGCAGGGGCAUGCAUGCUUCUUGCAAUACAUUUGAUACUUUUUGUCAUGUUUAGUACAGUACUGAGUAAUUUUAAGUAUAUCAGCUGGUAAUUUCUGGUAUUCAGUAAAAGGUAUGACGUAAUGGCUUCUCGAUGACUUCGACAAGCUAUAAUGUUCCUUGCAUUCUGUACAUAGUCCCUCGUCACAUUCUGUGCACCAGACUAUGGAUGGUUUGGUAAGGUGGCGGAGGUCACAUACACCACAGCUCUGAGAUGAUGUCGCC
rnacentral:lncRNA from 1 species